UGAAGCUGCCGGUUCACUCUUCAAAGCGUCGUUUUACUCUCGCAGAAUGUCGAGGAGAGUGAAAUGCAUUGUUCACUCUGUCACCAAGGAGAGAGUGAAAUGUGCUUUUCACUCUCCCCUUCAGAGAGAGAGAGUGAAAAGACUCUUGCGACAAUAGAAAAGAGAGACUCUUGCGGCAAUAGAAAACAAAACGUAGCGUAAUCUUCUGCUUCAACUGUAGGUGGCUGGCCCCGAACAUGGCAAUGUAUCAUUCAUGCACGCUGAGCAAAGAACACAUCGUUUUGCUUCUAAGAGAACAGGCCGCCGCAGUUCAAAGGAACGCGUAGCGAGCGCUCUACUUUUUCACUCGGAGUGGCUCCACCGCGCGCGCGCGCGCUCAAGAUCGCGGAACAACACAGCGCCGGAGAAAGUAGAUCCAUCCAGCGAGCAAAGGCCAGCCGAGGGAGAUCGUGUGGCAGCCAUCUCGCGUCGCCACGAAAACACGACAGUCGUUCGUCAUGCCUUGGAUAUAACAACAAAUCCUCCACGGUAAGUGAAUUCUAACUUAGGUGCACAUUCUCCGUAUAUGUCAUGCUAUCGCCAGGAAGUUGUCGCUGCGCUUAGCCGACGCGAUUGACAAAGGACUAGGCGUACGCGCUGUCUCUUGAUGUCAAUCGAAAAAGCCAGUCGUCGCGAUAACUGCAUGUGAUUUUAUCACUUUGCCGUUGUCCGUAAGAGCUUUAAAAAUCGCAAACGCUGCCAGAACUAUGGUAUGUUCAAUAAGACGCCAGGCGAGAGGACGCUUAAAAUGGUUAGUUCACCAGCCCGUGAUUCCGAGCCUAUGCGGAGCGUGAUUAGCGUGCGUUUUGUGUGUUUGAAUUUAUUCAGUUUGGCAGUCUACUAUGUACGGAACGCUGUUGAACUAAGGAAUCACAUAACAGAAGCCGUCAUUUUGCUGGCAGCAUGCUUUUUUUUUAUAAAUAAACCGCGCGCUUGACGGUGUCUCGCGCAGGGGGAAUCUGCGACCACUGAAGUUACGUGCAGCACCAGUGCUAGUUAGAAACUUUGCCGCAGGCAUUCAGCUGCAUGCUGCAAGAGGUCAGUUGGGCGCGUUAUCUUGAACUUACUGAAAACGCAUGAGGAAUCCAUGUUUUAUGCUGAAAAAAGUAUAAACCCCAUAUAAGCGAUCUUGCGCGCGGCAGCUACAAGCGACGCGACGGAGAUGGCUGUCGCGUUCGCUCGUCGCCUACAAGUCGUACUCCGUGCGAGCGACGAUUUUGAGCGACGCCUCCCCGGUGUUGCCGGCAUGAGGGCUGCAGUCACGCGUGACGCGUGCUUUAGUAAUUUACGUUGAUGUAUUUCACUAUAAAAAGUAGCAUAAAAUAUUUCCGGAGGUCUUGCAGUACGUUCUUAUCCUUGCACGUAUAAAAAUUGGAUCAUUUGCUCGUUCCGCGCGACAAUCGGUAGUACUUGAGCGAUGUAUGUACAUCCAGUUCCGGCUUCGCGCUAUUGGCUAGUCGCUCAUAGCACUUCUGGGCGACGAGCGACGAUUUCUAGAUUUCCAGAACCGAGCCAUCUGUUCAAGCGACGGCCCGUUUUGUCGCUCGUCGCCGUCGCGCACUAAAUCGCUCUCACAGUGUUUAUCCCUAAGACUGAACUGUUUUUGCUCAUGUUGAAAUGGUGUGAUUAUAGGUCUGGUUUUGUCUCCUGUUGCGGUUUUCGUGCACGGUGCGAAACUGAAAGGAUGCUUAUGUCUACGAACUCGGUGAAUUGUCGAGCAGCUAGUUACGCAUCGGCAUCGAAUAUAACGGCUGCUGUGUGGAAUUACAAUUGCAGGGGCGCUUUGCAUACGCUUAUUGUUUUGGACAUGCCUGUGCAUUUGCUAAUAUCAGUUGGCGUGUCAGAGUUAUGUCAUAUGAACAGCUAAAUCAGCCUUCCUCUGGGUGUUACAAGCGUAAUGUGUGCAUUUUGCUAUAGCAUGGCAGAUUAUGAUGUGUUUAUCGCUUGAAUAUUUUUAGUAGAGAAAUAAAAUAUCAAAAUAAAAUGUUGCUUUAAUUCCGUGUUACCAUUCUGUCGUACACAGAACAAUAGGUUGGUGUAAUAAACUAAUAACUGCGGUUUAACUGCAACUUUUACAUGCCUACAAGAAUCUAAAAUGCUAGAUUUCAAACUGCAGCACUAGUCGGGUCUGUCAAAAAUGAACUCCACUGCGCACCUCAUGCAUGAAAAUAAGUUCAUGCCUUUUAGUAAGCUUAGAUGCAGGCCGCAGUGAACUUGUUAGUAUUGAAAUGUGGGUAAGCUUGCCAUAACAAGCCUUGUUGCCCUUUUUUAUGGGCACAUCCAUAUAUCCAUUGAGCUGAAGGACAAUAUUUUCAUCCCUACUGAGCAUCAUGUUUGCAGCUAUAAUCCUCAAAUUAUGGCUUCAGCAGUGGCACAACCAGGCAUGGUGCGGGGGGGUGGGGGGGCACACUGGGCACGUGCUUAGGAUGUGUCACAAGUGGUGUUUGCGAUACACCAGACUCAUGACAGACCUAUGACGUCUGAAAAUGACCAAUAUUCUAUUCAUUAGCAGGAGUAUUCUAACAUUCAUGAAAAACAAGGAUGAACUGUGGCUUGUUUUUUUGCUUAAAUCUAAAAAUUGAAGUUAGUUUAGCAGUUGACUGUUUCAGUCAUUUGGAUGUUUUGCAUGCAUUUCACUAGGAAGACUAAGAGCUAAGACUUUUUUAUUGCCAUUGCCUUGACUGUCUUGAUGUUGUUUUGCACCAUGUCCUUGUGUUGACUUUUGCAUACGAUAUUUUUCAGGCACCCGCUUUAUAUAACGCAAGAAGGCAGCUGCAAGGACACGAGGAUGUGAAAGAGCCAGUGCAGCGCGACUUCACGUAGUGCAGAGGAGCCAAUGCCAAAAAAUCAAAAUACAUUGGCAUGUUAUUUGGACAAGAAAACUAGGACAACCCAGGACGUGCAUUUCUCAGCACCCAGUCAACUGCCAAAAGUGACUCAAACACAGGCCACCAGAGACAAUGCCUACGAAAUUAUUGGCCCUGAUCAUGAGAGCCCUCAAGGGGCAAACAACAUCUCUGUUGCAGAAGUGAGCCCGGUACCACUUGGAAGUUACCAUGACAGAUGACACGGCAGCAAUAGAUACAGAGACUGCCACGUCUACUGCAGCUGCAACAGUGUACGAGGCAAGCAGCAGCGCGUCAGCAGCAGUGUCAGAAGGAACCACACCAGGCCUGGUAGAGCAACAUGUGUGCUAUCACUGACUUUUUUUGUAGUGGAUACAACUCAUUUGCUCAACAUACAAAAGCUUUUCACCACGACUGUGAGCCAGUGUUAUUGUGCAGCAAGUGCAAGACUAAGUUAAGUAUUAUAACACAGUACAAGCAUCACUUUAACAUAUGAAAACAUAUUACAGUUGUUGCCUCCCCAGCCAGCCCACAUAGCCACAACAAUGUUGAACACAUGGUGGGACACACAUCUUCUCCAUUAGAAGAUAGUAGAGACUGUCAGUGUUGUUGUUAGAUUAACUGGUCUUUGUAGGCAACUAGGACAACACAGGUGUCAUAAGAUUGUUGUUGAUGUUGUUGUUGAAGAGGUAAAAAAGUUUGAUGCAGCUGAAGUGCCAACUGAUAUUGAGCAAAUCAAAAGCAACCACCUGAGAAAGCAACACUAUCGAAAUUUGGGUAUCUAUGUGCCGCCAACUCUGGUAAGAAUGGCAUAGGACAGAAGUGUGAUGAAAAUCACACAGACACUGCUGUUGCAUCACUGGCCACAGUGAGCAGCGACUUGUAGGGCAAGAGAGUCGACUGAAACUAACAUUAUGAUAUAGUGUCAUGCUCCCAUGUGACCACAUUUCAAGUUAUUUUGCAAGAUACAGCUCAACCUCCAGAAACGAGACUGCAAGUUGUCUGUAAAAAAGCUUUCACAAAAAAUUAUUCAUAACACUAUUAACAUAGCAGUAUCUUUUUUUUUGUGUCGGUUCGAGGUUCCCGGCUGUCCAUUAAUGCAAAAAUUGAGGAAAAAAAGAACAUGUGUCGUACUUACACCUUUUUAACAAGUACGAGGGGGACAGAACUUUUCUAGUCAUGCAUCUUCAUCAUACUAUCAAGUUUUUAAAUGCCUUUUAUAAUUAUUAUUACCAGUUAUAUCUGAGUGCAUUGUAUGCAUAUAGCAGGUGUAAAAUCAGGUCAGUUGGAUCAGAUGCCUUAUCUGCAAGCGAACCCUAUAUUCAAGAAAUUUGAAAUAAAAUAGUUACGUUAGAGACGCAGUCUUUCAGCACUUUAUUGCCUGUGGUUUAAGCAUUGCUCAAUACUUUUGUGGGUGGCAAUUUCAACCGGCACAGCACUGCGCUUUGCCACAGUCACAUUUGUCUUCAAAGCGGUGUUUACCAUUUGUGUUGAUCUGUUUGUGUAUGCAUAGAGCAAGUUUUUAAUUUAUAUUUUUCUGCAUUCUUGUGCUUGCACUAAGCUUGUAUAAGGCAGUUACAAAAUGUGCGGCACUAUAACGAACUGUUCUGUUGAGCUUACACUUGCAAAUAAUCGUGUUCAGAUGGCCGCACUUCUAUGCGGGUGCACCGCUAGCUUUGUGUAUGUUCUCAUGUUUGUAUAAAGCUUAUAUAAGCUAGUUAGAACAUGUAUGUCACUAAGCAUUGUGAUAUUCUUUAAAGAACUGCUUGGUUGGUUUUACACUUGUGAAUUAGUAUUGAGGUGGUGGUAUUCCCAUGUAUGCCCACUGCUAGCUUUCUGUGUCCUCACGUGUUUGUAUUAAGUUUCUACAAGGGAGUUACAGCAUGUACGUCACUAAGCGCUGUGAUAUUUUUUAAAGAACUGGUUUGUUGGUUUUACACCUGUGAGUAAUAGUACUCGUGUGGCACUAGUCAUGUGUAGGUACACAGGGACCAUUUGUAUACAUUAUGCUCAUGUAAAGCAGUUACAAAGUGUAUGUCACUAAUUACUGUGAUAUUUGUUGAAUUGCUGUGAUGGUUGUACACAUGUGAAUAAUAGUGGUCAGGACACAGUACUUGCGGUGUAUAGUUGAAUUUAUACACAGCCAAGACAUGGGCUGUAUACGUACCAAAAGAAAUGUAUGUCAUUAUAUUGUUGUGAUUAUUACUGUUUGGAUUUUAAUAAACUGUAAUAAAAUUGUUUCUUGUA